rnacentral:rRNA from 1 species
ACUUUGUUCUGAUACACUCUCAGUAAAAUGAAACUGCGCAUGGUAGGUUUUCGAACUAUGAUUUAACCCAGCAAGAGAUAUUAAACAAUACUAGAAAUAGUAAUUUAAUUCUAGUUUUUAUGUUCUGACUAAUUAGGUGCCAGCAGUCGCGGUCAUACCUAUAAAACAGCUGAGAUUUUUAGAUAGAGGUAUGCCUUAAGAAAAAUUAAUUAACUAGUGAAAUAGUAAUUAUUUAUUCCACCUCUUUAAGGUUUAUUCCUGAAACUCCACUAUUAAACUAGGAUUAGAUACCCUACUAUAAGGAGCGAAAACUUAAAUAUCUAAGCACUAAGGCUUAAAAGUGAUUAAACUAAAAAGCUAAAACUUAAAGAACAUGGCGGCGGAAAUAAAAUUUAGGGGAACUUACCAGGUAAUUGACAACCCUCAAAAAAAAUCACCUUUAUUUAAAGUUUGUAUACCGCCGUCUUGGGCCCUCUUGAGGAGGGCCCAGAAUUAUGUAAUAAAUAAGACAGGUCAUGGUGCAGCCCAUAUAAAGGACUGUAAGGUGAGUUACAAUAGUGAUUUACUUCGGAAUAAAAAUGUAAGAAUGAAAGGAAGAUGGACUUAACAGUAAUUACUAAAGAAGUAUGUUUUGAAAUACAAAGAUUUUCGUGCACAAAUCGCCCGUCAUUCUCGUUGAAAAAUGAGACAAGUCGUAACACAGUAGGAGUACUGGAAAGUGCUCCU